rnacentral:rRNA from 1 species
UACGUAGGGGGCUAGCGUUGUCCGGAAUCAUUGGGCGUAAAGGGCGCGUAGGCGGUCCUUCAAGUCAGGCGUGAAAGCCCCGGGCUCAACCUGGGAACCGCGCUUGAGACUGGCGGACUCGAGUUCGGGAGAGGAUGGUGGGAUUCCCAGUGUAGAGGUGAAAUUCGUAGAUAUUGGGAAGAACACCGAUGGCGAAGGCAGCCAUCUGGACCGACACUGACGCUGAGGCGCGAAAGCGUGGGGAGCAAACAGG